rnacentral:lncRNA from 1 species
UGUAUUGUACAGUUGAAAUACUUUCUUGGGUUCUAAUUUUCCACUCAAUCAAACUUCACUUCUUCUUCUUCUUCUUCUUCUUCACUCGCUCACUUUCCUCACUCUCACUCACCACCGACUAACUGAGUCACCACCCAAUCCUCCCUUUCUCCUCCUCAUGGGCUGCACAGCUUCCAAAUUGGACAACGAGGACACCGUCCGC